AUAUGAUGAGAUAUCAUAGCUGGCACCAGUCAGACGGGGUGGUUAUAAACCAUAUCCACUGUUGAUUAGCUCUGGUCCGGGAACGCUACCCGAGAUCCCUGAC
rnacentral:snoRNA from 17 species